rnacentral:rRNA from 1 species
GUUAUAACCGGCGAUUUCCGAAUGGGGAAACCCAGUGUGAUUCGUCACACUAUCAUUAACUGAAUCCAUAGGUUAAUGAGGCGAACCGGGGGAACUGAAACAUCUAAGUACCCCGAGGAAAAGAAAUCAACCGAGAUUCCCCCAGUAGCGGCGAGCGAACGGGGAGCAGCCCAGAGCCUGAAUCAGUGUGUGUGUUAGUGGAAGCGUCUGGAAAGGCGUGCGAUACAGGGUGACAGCCCCGUACACAAAAAUGCACAUACUGUGAGCUCGAUGAGUAGGGCGGGACACGUGGUAUCCUGUCUGAAUAUGGGGGGACCAUCCUCCAAGGCUAAAUACUCCUGACUGACCGAUAGUGAACCAGUACCGUGAGGGAAAGGCGAAAAGAACCCCGGCGAGGGGAGUGAAAAAGAACCUGAAACCGUGUACGUACAAGCAGUGGGAGCACGCUUAGGCGUGUGACUGCGUACCUUUUGUAUAAUGGGUCAGCGACUUAUAUUCUGUAGCAAGGUUAACCGAAUAGGGGAGCCGAAGGGAAACCGAGUCUUAACUGGGCGUUAAGUUGCAGGGUAUAGACCCGAAACCCGGUGAUCUAGCCAUGGGCAGGUUGAAGGUUGGGUAACACUAACUGGAGGACCGAACCGACUAAUGUUGAAAAAUUAGCGGAUGACUUGUGGCUGGGGGUGAAAGGCCAAUCAAACCGGGAGAUAGCUGGUUCUCCCCGAAAGCUAUUUAGGUAGCGCCUCGUGAAUUCAUCUCCGGGGGUAGAGCACUGUUUCGGCAAGGGGGUCAUCCCGACUUACCAACCCGAUGCAAACUGCGAAUACCGGAGAAUGUUAUUACGGGAGACACACGGCGGGUGCUAACGUCCGUCGUGAAGAGGGAAACAACCCAGACCGCCAGCUAAGGUCCCAAAGUCAUGGUUAAGUGGGAAACGAUGUGGGAAGGCCCAGACAGCCAGGAUGUUGGCUUAGAAGCAGCCAUCAUUUAAAGAAAGCGUAAUAGCUCACUGGUCGAGUCGGCCUGCGCGGAAGAUGUAACGGGGCUAAACCAUGCACCGAAGCUGCGGCAGCGACGCUUAUGCGUUGUUGGGUAGGGGAGCGUUCUGUAAGCCUGUGAAGGUGUGCUGUGAGGUAUGCUGGAGGUAUCAGAAGUGCGAAUGCUGACAUAAGUAACGAUAAAGCGGGUGAAAAGCCCGCUCGCCGGAAGACCAAGGGUUCCUGUCCAACGUUAAUCGGGGCAGGGUGAGUCGACCCCUAAGGCGAGGCCGAAAGGCGUAGUCGAUGGGAAACAGGUUAAUAUUCCUGUACUUGGUGUUACUGCGAAGGGGGGACGGAGAAGGCUAUGUUGGCCGGGCGACGGUUGUCCCGGUUUAAGCGUGUAGGCUGGUUUUCCAGGCAAAUCCGGAAAAUCAAGGCCGAGGCGUGAUGACGAGGCACUACGGUGCUGAAGCAACAAAUGCCCUGCUUCCAGGAAAAGCCUCUAAGCAUCAGGUAACAUCAAAUCGUACCCCAAACCGACACAGGUGGUCAGGUAGAGAAUACCAAGGCGCUUGAGAGAACUCGGGUGAAGGAACUAGGCAAAAUGGUGCCGUAACUUCGGGAGAAGGCACGCUGAUACGUAGGUGAAGCGACUUGCUCGUGGAGCUGAAAUCAGUCGAAGAUACCAGCUGGCUGCAACUGUUUAUUAAAAACACAGCACUGUGCAAACACGAAAGUGGACGUAUACGGUGUGACGCCUGCCCGGUGCCGGAAGGUUAAUUGAUGGGGUUAGCGCAAGCGAAGCUCUUGAUCGAAGCCCCGGUAAACGGCGGCCGUAACUAUAACGGUCCUAAGGUAGCGAAAUUCCUUGUCGGGUAAGUUCCGACCUGCACGAAUGGCGUAAUGAUGGCCAGGCUGUCUCCACCCGAGACUCAGUGAAAUUGAACUCGCUGUGAAGAUGCAGUGUACCCGCGGCAAGACGGAAAGACCCCGUGAACCUUUACUAUAGCUUGACACUGAACAUUGAGCCUUGAUGUGUAGGAUAGGUGGGAGGCUUUGAAGUGUGGACGCCAGUCUGCAUGGAGCCGACCUUGAAAUACCACCCUUUAAUGUUUGAUGUUCUAACGUGGACCCGUGAUCCGGGUUGCGGACAGUGUCUGGUGGGUAGUUUGACUGGGGCGGUCUCCUCCUAAAGAGUAACGGAGGAGCACGAAGGUUGGCUAAUCCUGGUCGGACAUCAGGAGGUUAGUGCAAUGGCAUAAGCCAGCUUGACUGCGAGCGUGACGGCGCGAGCAGGUGCGAAAGCAGGUCAUAGUGAUCCGGUGGUUCUGAAUGGAAGGGCCAUCGCUCAACGGAUAAAAGGUACUCCGGGGAUAACAGGCUGAUACCGCCCAAGAGUUCAUAUCGACGGCGGUGUUUGGCACCUCGAUGUCGGCUCAUCACAUCCUGGGGCUGAAGUAGGUCCCAAGGGUAUGGCUGUUCGCCAUUUAAAGUGGUACGCGAGCUGGGUUUAGAACGUCGUGAGACAGUUCGGUCCCUAUCUGCCGUGGGCGCUGGAGAACUGAGGGGGGCUGCUCCUAGUACGAGAGGACCGGAGUGGACGCAUCACUGGUGUUCGGGUUGUCAUGCCAAUGGCACUGCCCGGUAGCUAAAUGCGGAAGAGAUAAGUGCUGAAAGCAUCUAAGCACGAAACUUGCCCCGAGAUGAGUUCUCCCUGACCCUUUAAGGGUCCUGAAGGAACGUUGAAGACGACGACGUUGAUAGGCCGGGUGUGUAAGCGCAGCGAUGCGUUGAGCUAACCGGUACUAAUGAACCGUGAGGCUUAACCUUACAACGCCGAAG